rnacentral:rRNA from 1 species
UACGUAUGGAGCAAGCGUUAUCCGGAUUUACUGGGUGUAAAGGGUGCGUAGGUGGCAGUGCAAGUCAGAUGUGAAAGGCCGGGGCUUAACCCCGGAGCUGCAUUUGAAACUGCAUAGCUAGAGUACAGGAGAGGCAGGCGGAAUUCCUAGUGUAGCGGUGAAAUGCGUAGAUAUUAGGAGGAACACCAGUGGCGAAGGCGGCCUGCUGGACUGUUACUGACACUGAGGCACGAAAGCGUGGGGAGCAAACAGG